UACAGAGGAUGCAAGCGUUAUCCGGAAUGAUUGGGCGUAAAGCGUCUGUAGGUGGCUUUUUAAGUCCGCCGUCAAAUCCCAGGGCUCAACUCUGGACAGGCGGUGGAAACUACCAAGCUGGAGUACGGUAGGGGCAGAGGGAAUUUCCGGUGGAGCGGUGAAAUGUGUUGAUAUCGGAAGGAACGCCGGUGGCGAAAGCGAUCCGCUGGACCUCUUCUGACACUGAGGCGCGAAAGCCAGGGGAGCAAACGGG
rnacentral:rRNA from 1 species